rnacentral:rRNA from 1 species
AGCUAAACAGCUAGCCUCU